UAUCACGGUCUACUGGAUUUCAAGAAACUGGACAAGACUGCGGUGCUGGAUGCCAGCUGGAGUGGCUGUCGUCCCUGUUGCUGUGGUUACUGACCAGCUGUGGCCUGUUGCUGUUUAUAAGCUCAUAGUGGGGCACAUUCUGAGCCAUGUAAAAAGCGAACAUCCACUUAGACAAGGCUGCUAAAGGAAGCAGUUUGAUUGGCUGUGUAAGCCUUGAGAAGAUGAGCGAUUGGGUGGGACUGGAGCGCUAACCUCUGUCACUGAAGGACGCCCCCGAGGUUGGAAGCCAGUACAACUGAAAGCCCUCACAUCUCCUGGCAGUUUCACUAGCACUCCCUGUUGGGCUCUCUCCAUCUUGUGGUCUGUAUUCCCAGGAGAAAUGACCACAGUGCCCCCUCCACUGAUUCCACCUGGUCCAUGUGAGAUGACACAAUGUGGGCGGAGUCUGGAGAGAGGUCUCCUCUCACACCCUCCUCACCAAUGUGGCAGAGGCAGGAUGCCCGUGGGAGGUGUGGUGCAUACACCACCUCCAGUCUCCGGGGGACACC